rnacentral:rRNA from 1 species
AACGAACGCUGGCGGCGCGCCUAAUACAUGCAAGUCGAGCGAGAAGACGUAGCAAUACGUUUGUAAAGCGGCGAACGGGUGAGGAAUACAUGGGUAACCUACCCUCGAGUGGGGAAUAACUAGCCGAAAGGUUAGCUAAUACCGCGUACGCUCCUUGGACUUCGGUUCAGGGAGGAAAGCGAUACCGUGGGUAUCGCGCUCUUGGUUGGGCUCAUGUCCUAUCAGCUUGUUGGUGAGGUAACGGCUCACCAAGGCUUCGACGGGUAGCUGGUCUGAGAGGACGAUCAGCCACACUGGCACUGCGACACGGGCCAGACUCCUACGGGAGGCAGCAGUAAGGAAUAUUGCGCAAUGGGCGAAAGCCUGACGCAGCGACGCCGCGUGGGGGA